GACGAACGCUGGCGGCGUGCUUAACACAUGCAAGUCGAACGGAAAGGCCCUGCUUUUGUGGGGUGCUCGAGUGGCGAACGGGUGAGUAACACGUGAGUAACCUGCCCUUGACUUUGGGAUAACUUCAGGAAACUGGGGCUAAUACCGGAUAGGAGCUCCUGCUGCAUGGUGGGGGUUGGAAAGUUUCGGCGGUUGGGGAUGGACUCGCGGCUUAUCAGCUUGUUGGUGGGGUAGUGGCUUACCAAGGCUUUGACGGGUAGCCGGCCUGAGAGGGUGACCGGCCACAUUGGGACUGAGAUACGGCCCAGACUCCUACGGGAGGCGGCAGUGGGGAAUAUUGCACAAUGGGCGGAAGCCUGAUGCAGCAACGCCGCGUGCGGGAUGACGGCCUUCGGGUUGUAAGCCGCUUUCGCCUGUGACGAAGCGUGAGGGACGGUAAUGGGUAAAGAAGCACCGGCUAACUACGU
rnacentral:rRNA from 1 species